GGGGCUGAUUCUGGAUUCGACGGGAUUUGCGAAGCCCAAGGAGCAUGCCGAGGGGCGGUUUGCCUCGUAAAAAGCCGCAAAAAAAUAGUUGCAAACGACGAAAACUACGCACUAGCAGCUUAAUAACCUGCUCAGAGCCCUCUCUCCCUAGCCUCCGCUCUUAGGACGGGGAUCAAGAGAGGUCAAACCUAAAAGAGAUCGCGCAGACACUUUGCCUGGAGUGAAAGCGUUAAACCCAAUCAGGAUAGUUUGUUAGUGGCGUGUCUGUCCGCAGCUAACCGGCGAAUGUAAAGACUAGACUAAGCAUGUAGUGCCGACGGUGUAGUAAUUUCGGACGGGGGUUCAAAUCCCCCCAGCUCCACCA
rnacentral:tmRNA from 1 species